rnacentral:rRNA from 1 species
CCUACGGGUGGCAGCAGUGGGGGAUAUUGCACAAUGGGGGGAACCCUGAUGCAGCGACGCCGCGUGGGUGAAGAAGCGCCUCGGCGCGUAAAGCCCUGUCAGCAGGGAAGAAAAUGACGGUACCUGAAGAAGAAGCCCCGGCUAACUACGUGCCAGCAGCCGCGGUAAUACGUAGGGGGCAAGCGUUAUCCGGAUUUAUUGGGUUUAAAGGGUGCGUAGGCUGUGAGGUAAGUCAGCGGUGAAAUGCCCCCGCUCAACGGGGUGAAGUGCCAUUGAUACUGCCUUGCUGGAAUGCGGAUGCCGUGGGAGGAAUGUGUGGUGUAGCGGUGAAAUGCAUAGAUAUCACACAGAACACCGAUUGCGAAGGCAUCUCACGAAUCCGCGAUUGACGCUGAUGCACGAAAGCGUGGGUAUCAAACAGGAUUAGAUACCCUAGUAGUC